rnacentral:rRNA from 1 species
UACGGAGGGUGCAAGCGUUAUCCGGAUUCACUGGGUUUAAAGGGUGCGUAGGUGGGUCUGUAAGUCCGUGGUGAAAUCUCCGAGCUUAACUUGGAAACUGCCAUGGAUACUAUAAAUCUUGAAUACUGUGGAGGUUAGCGGAAUAUGUCAUGUAGCGGUGAAAUGCUUAGAUAUGACAUAGAACACCAAUUGCGAAGGCAGCUGGCUACACAAAUAUUGACACUGAUGCACGAAAGCGUGGGGAUCAAACAGG